UCACGUGUUCUCACUCAAUGUUGUCUUAUUUCAAACAACAAACCCAAUUAGAAUUUCAAGAAACAUCAUUGCCCUUCUUCAGUCUUCCAAAGACUUCUCUUUGAGUUCUAUUCAUUUUCUCACAUGGGUGCUGCAAUUUCAGGUCAGUUUUCCUCCCAAUUGUUUGCCAAUCUUCUUCAGGUUUUCUUCGAAUUUCCCAGUUUUAUUACUUAAAUUCAUGGUUGAUGUGGUUAUUAUUCUUCUAUCUUUCUUCCUUGAUCUUUUGUCAUUUUGUCUUUCCAUAUAUGGUCUCCGUUCGACAUUUUUUGUCUAUAUAGGAAAUGAAAGAUGGGAACUUUGAAUUAAAAAAUACAGAGAAGAAAUAAAAGGAGAAAGGUUUGUUAUGUAUAAAAUGGAGGGGAGUAGAUAACUCUAAAGAAACAUAUCAUAGUAGUAAUUUCAUUUGCCUUAGACUUCUUUCUGAAUUUUAAAAUGUCUCUUCAAAUUCAGUUAAGGAAUGGAUUGAUGAUAUAGAUAGGUAGCCUUAUUUCCUAUUUAAUUUGACUAUUUGGGGGUAAAACUUGAAGCUCUUCAAUGUAAAAAAUGGUGGUCUUUUUAUUAUGGUUUUGGAAGAUGAUUUUCUGGAUUCGCAAGUGCUGGAAUUCUGGAAAAUAGAACCAAAUAUAAGCUGAUAUAAAUAGUAAAGAUGUUAAGACCUUAUGCUUUUUCUUCUUUUUAUUUUUUCCCUAAUUGUUACCUCCUUACGGGUCUUUGACGCUUUUGAAAUAAAAUGGAUUUCUCAUAUUUUUCAACGGAUACUUAUGAUUUUUUUUUGGAGUGUUUAUUGCUUUUGAAAUAUCGCAAACUUCUUGAACUUUUCAAUAAAAUAUUAAUGGGUGUAUCUAUUCUUUUUCUUAUUCUUUGGACGGCUUCAUGUACCAUGUGGCUUCAUCAAUCGGCGGCAGCUCUUACGGCGUGACAAAUGCGUAAUGAAAGGGGUAUCUGCAUUAUUAGAUACUUUUCUGUCAGUUGCUGGAGUUGCAAUGAUAUGCUUGACUAUCUUUGUGAAAGCUGGAGUUGCAAAACCUAUUUGCUGAUGCCAGCUGUGCGUAGGAGUUCCCUCUAAAGUUGCAGUAUCCAUAUGGUGAGAUUUUCUUGGAAAAUAACUUUAGAUUUCAAAAGAAUAUCAAAUUUAUAGUCAAUAGGAUGUAUCAUUAUUUGGGUCCACUGUUCUAUUUAAAUAAUUUUCAAAUGCAACAUUUUCCAUAGACGUACUCCAUUUGUAAAGGUAAGAGACUCUCAUUAUGAUUUAUAAGAGUUAAUAUGUCCAGAAUCUCACAAGUAACAGUUAAUAAGUCCAGAGCCUCAUUUCGAAAAA